UUACUUUGACAGAAAAAAUGUAAUAAAUUUAGAAUUUAUAUAUACAAUUAAUAUUGUAAGUAAC
rnacentral:tRNA from 1 species